UACGAGUUUGAGUCCUGGCUACAGGACGAACGCUGGCGGCGUGCUUAACACAUGCAAGUCGAACGAUGAAGCCUAGCUUGCUAGGUGGAUUAGUGGCGAACGGGUGAGUAAUACGUGAGUAACCUACCUUUAACUCUGGGAUAAGCCUGGGAAACUGGGUCUAAUACCGGAUACGACCAAUCUCCGCAUGGGGUGUUGGUGGAAAGCGUUAUGUAGUGGUUAUAGAUGGGCUCACGGCCUAUCAGCUUGUUGGUGAGGUAACGGCUCACCAAGGCGACGACGGGUAGCCGGCCUGAGAGGGUGACCGGCCACACUGGGACUGAGACACGGCCUAGACUCCUACGGGAGGCAGCAGUGGGGAAUAUUGCACAAUGGGCGCAAGCCUGAUGCAGCGACGCCGCGUGAGGGAUGACGGCCUUCGGGUUGUAAACCUCUGUUAGCAGGGAAGAAGAGAGAUUGACGGUACCUGCAGAGAAAGCGCCGGCUAACUACGUG
rnacentral:rRNA from 1 species